rnacentral:rRNA from 1 species
GACGAACCGUGCGAACGUUGUUCGGAAUCACUGGGCUUAAAGGGCGCGUAGGCGGGUUCUCAAGUCAGGGGUGAAAGCCCGCGGCUCAACCGCGGAAGCGCCUUUGAUACUGGGGAUCUCGAGGGGGGUAGGGGCGUGCGGAACUUCCGGUGGAGCGGUGAAAUGCGUAGAUAUCGGAAGGAACACCGGUGGCGAAAGCGGCGCGCUGGACCCCUUCUGACGCUGAGGCGCGAAAGCCAGGGGAGCAAACGGG